ensembl:lncRNA TTTY10 testis expressed transcript, Y-linked 10
GUGAUCCUCCCGCCUCUGCCGCCCAAAUUCCUGGGAUUGCAGUAGUGAGCCACCGCGCCCGGCCUAUUUUUUUCAGUCUUAUCUUCUCUACCUCACCACCUCACAGUAAAGCAUAUAGGUUCGACAACAUCACCAAGGACCAAACAUUGUGGUAGAUGUACAUGCAAUGUACAUGCAGAGUACAGGUUGAUGCCUGAAUAAAGAGAUGCUGGGUGAGUGUCUGAACCUAGAUGACAUGGAGGAGUCCUGCAGAAAAUAUUUGCUAUUGAAUUCAAAGGUCUAUAGAGAGUUCUCAACUAAUGAAAAAUCAUUGCAUUAUCUUGAGAGCAAUAGCAAUGAUCAUGCCAACAGUAAUUCAGACUGUGUCAUAAGUUGGGUCACACAGUCCCUAUUUUCAAACUUUGUGGAUGUCUGUCAACUGGCAGUGAAUUGUAUUCAGGAGAAAAGAAGUCUAAAUUCUCAGGGCAGUGAACCUAAGCCAGGAGCUGCUUAGGCAUUAAGGCUUCUAUACCCAGAAUCGUGUGCUAAGCUUUCUCUCCAAGUCAGCACAACAAAGCAAACCAGAGCAUCGUACCAACAACCUGAAAGGUCACCUGACUCCUUCCUUCUCACUCCCAUUCUGUACUUCUGCAUACGUGGGCAGGCAAGUGAAUGGUUGAAGAGUGCUCUGGCUGUAGAGGGUCCCCACGAUCUGUCAUCUAGUAACUCACCAGAUACAUAAGAUAUUUUGCCUGCUAUGAAGCCAUUGGAGAAUCAGGUCCAGCUGUGUCCUACAGAUUUAUACCCUCACUUUGGAUGCACUGUGAAUCUUGAAACAAUUCAUUUUAUACUUAACCCUUUAAGUAUAAAGUAUAUACUUCAAGUAUAAAGUGUAAGGUUGCUUCAUUUCAUGGGCCCACCCAGGAUUUAAAGGUGUAUUCCCUGAAAGAAUUGGUUCCUUCCGGUGGGUUCCUGGCUGACUUCAAGAAUGAAGCUGCAGACACUUAUGGACUGGGAGGAGGCCCACGAGAAAAACAGGAAGAACAAGAGAAAGGCUGAGGCUCUAGUGGCUGCUUUGCAGACUUGCAGAGUCCAGGAUCCCCCAGGAACUUCCACUGAUUGCUACCUGUUACCAGUGUUAAAGCCAGGGCACUUUAAGAAGAAUUGCCCAAGCCACAAGAAAAAGCCACCUUGACCACUUUUGUGGUGAAGACCACUGGAGAUUGCACUACUGACCACCAAGACAGAGACACAAUAGCGAAUCUAGAAGUGGAAGUGUGAGAGAUACCUGCAGCUGUUAAGAUGUCUGGGAAUAGACACACAAACUCUCUCUCCCAGAUAAGCAACACAAAGCAGCACAGAGCAACAGAGACUGAAAGUCUGCCUACCUGAUCAGGGAAUAAGGUGAGAGUUGAUAAAGACUCUGCUCUAUACAGAAAGCAUACCUGGUUCCAACUAAAUCAUCAGGUUUUAUGAGGAUAAGACAUCCUCUCCUCACUAGUGCCCUCCUCAUUAGCCCAUUUACAAAAACCCUGAGAUUUUAGCACAGCUUGGCAACCUACUCAGGGCUCCUCUCUAUGCUGAAGAGCUGUUCUUUUUGUCUAUUAAACUCCUGCUCUAAACUCAUUCUAUGGGUGUGUGUAUCCACAGCCUUGAUCCACUUGGCUGUGAGACUAAGAUCCUUGGUAUUUACCACAGACAAUUAGGUUGUUUCAGAAAUUUCCUGUUUAAAAAAAAAAAAGACAUAGAUCUAAAAUUACCAAGUACCAGAGAAGAUAGAAAAUCAUGUGUUUUUGGAUUGUUUUGUUUCUGUUUGUUUUCUCAUUGUGCUUAAAAUGUCUGAGUUUGACUUUGUAUGCAUAUAAUACUUUUACUAGGGGAAUUACUGUAAAAUAUUUGUAUAUGGAUGGCUCUUAACCCUAUAUCAUUGGCACAUGUAAGAGCAUGGAAGAAUAAGACUCAAACAAGAAAGGAUUGACCAUUUAAUGGCAUGGUAAGUACACUGCCACAUCCAGCUUGAGAGACAACUCACAUAGACACAAAAACAAAAACUAGUCAACAUUAUGUUUCUGCUCCUCUAGACUUCAGAACUGUAAGAUAGUUACCCAUUUUAAAGUCACUUAUUAGGCAAUAAACGAGAGAAGAAAAGCAGAAAA